GACGAACGCUGGCGGCGUGCCUAAUACAUGCAAGUCGAACGCAUUUUCUUUCACCGUAGCUUGCUACACCGAAAGAAAAUGAGUGGCGAACGGGUGAGUAACACGUGGGUAACCUGCCCAUCAGCGGGGGAUAACACUUGGAAACAGGUGCUAAUACCGCAUAAUUCCAUUUACCGCAUGGUAGAUGGGUGAAAGGCGCUUUUGCGUCACUGAUGGAUGGACCCGCGGUGCAUUAGCUAGUUGGUGGGGUAACGGCCUACCAAGGCUGCGAUGCAUAGCCGACCUGAGAGGGUGAUCGGCCACACUGGGACUGGGACACGGCCCAGACUCCUACGGGAGGCAGCAGUAGGGGAUCUUCGGCAAUGGACGCAAGUCUGACCGAGCAACGCCGCGUGAGUGAAGAAGGGUUUCGGAUCGUAAAACUCUGUUGUUAGAGAAGAACAAGGAUGAGAGUGGAAAGUUCAUCCCUUGACGGUAUCUAACCAGAAAGCCACGGCUAACUACGUG
rnacentral:rRNA from 1 species